rnacentral:rRNA from 1 species
UACGUAGGGACCGAGCGUUGUCCGGAAUCAUUGGGCGUAAAGAGCGUGUAGGCGGCCACUUAAGUCCUGCGUGAAAUCUUGCGGCUCAACCGCAAGCGGUCGUGGGAAACUGGGUGGCUAGAGUGCGGGAGAGGAGAGUGGAAUACCUGGUGUAGCGGUGGAAUGCGCAGAUAUCGGGAGGAACACCGGUGGCGAAGGCGGUUCUCUGGGCCUGUGCUGACGCUGAGGAGCGAAAGCGUGGGGAGCGAACAGG